rnacentral:lncRNA from 1 species
UGGAGAGAAAAUUAAGGGAUUUGGAUGGGAGUGGUUGGACGGUUUUAGGAGAGAUUUGAGGGAUUCUGGGGAAAUAUGGUGCAGAAAUUUUCAUUUUUGUUGUUUUGGUUUGUUUUUAUUUUCUUUUUUCUUUUAAAUUCCCAAAGUUCUCUUUUCUUCUACCGUUCUUCUUUCCCAGAUUUGCUAAACCUCUGCCAAAAUUUUCUUUUUAUUUUCCAUUCUUGCUGAUUUUUGGCCAUUGGUUUAUUCCCUUUCUGGUUUCGGUUGCCAAAAGUUGCCUAUUUUCUUGCCGAAUUUUUCUUCUUCUUCCC